rnacentral:lncRNA from 1 species
CAUGUGAGAACAUAGCUAGAACGUGCUGUCUGUGAGGAACAGGCCUUCACGAGAAACUGAAUCUGCUGGUGCUUUGAUCUUGGACUUCCCAGCUUCCAGAGCUGUUUUUCUGGAAACCGCUGUAAAAAAGGAAAGCAACUUCAACACGCAUUUCUAACUCAUUGAUAUGCCAAGUUCCUUUUGGAAUGAUAAGUUGCCAAGGACCAAAGCACUGUGACUUGUCAUCCCCAGUGAAUGAGAG